rnacentral:lncRNA from 1 species
UUGGAUAAAGGCAUCAGAAAAUGUUUCUCCUAAGAGUGGGGGGGACAAACUGAGCUUUGAAGGGUAAAAAGGAGCCAGCUAUCAAAAGAGUGAGAGGAAGGGAAAGAGAUUGUUUGGGUUAAGAAAGCAGCCCAGGAAUUCCCAUCGUGGCUCAGUGGUUAAUGAAUCCGACUAGGAACCAUGAGGUUGAGGGGUUUGAUUCCUGGCCUUUCUCAGUGGGUUAAGGAUCCGGUGUUGCCGUGAGCUGUGGUGUAGGUCGCAGACAUGCCUUGGAUCUGGCGUUGCUGUGGCUCUGGCAUAGGCCGGCAGCUACAGCUCUGAUUCAACCCCUAGCCUGGGAACCUCCAUAUGCCACAGGAGCAGCCCAAGAAAUGGCAAAAGGACAAAAAAGAAAAGGAAAAAGAAAGCAGCCCAAUCCCUAGGGUGGAAAGGUGAUCUUUCCUGUGUUUGCAGAGUGGAAAAGAGCCAGUGAGGGUGGAGCAUGGAGGGAGCAUCAGAAGAUGACACUGGAGAGGAAGCAGGGACCAGACCCACCUGGUCAGGAGUUUGGAUUUUAUUCUAUGUGCUAAGAAAGCCUCUGUGAGUUUUAAGACAAGAGGAGAACGUCUCUGGAAUUCCUGCUGUGGCACAACAGGAUCGGCAGCAUCUCUCCAGGGCCAGGACACAGGUUCGAUCCCUGACCUGGAACAGUGGGUUAAGGGAUCUGGUGUUACCAACGGGAGAGAAGAAGCCAGGAGUUCCCGUCAUGGCGCAGCAGAAACAAUCCGACUAGGAACCAUGAGGUUGCGGGUUCGAUCCCUGGCCUCAUUCAGUGGGUUAAAGAUCCGGUGUUGCUGUGAGCUGUGGUGUAGGCCGGCAGCUGUAGCUCUGAUUUGACUCCUAGCCUGGAAACCUCCAUAUGCCAUGGGUGCAGCCGUAAAAAGAAAAAAAAAAAAAAGAGAGAGAGAGAGAGAAGCAGCCAAGCCUAGGAUAUAAGCUGGGCACAUGUGUCCCCACGUCCUUAUCUGUAGUACAGGUGUAAUGAGAGUCCCUCGUAGGGUGGUUGAGAUGAUUAUCGGCUCAUGUACAGUGCUUAAGUCAGUUACUGAUACACAAUAAGCCCCAAGUAUAUGUUAGUUUCCCUGCUGUCACUGUCCUUUUAUCUUGGUCUUGUACUAGGAUCAGCGAGGAAACUUUCCUGUUUAACUAGACCUUCUUGCCACACUCAGGUCCAACCUUUAGGCACUGUGCAGGACUGUGGUUUCCCAGCUUUUCAAGUUCACUCCUGAAGAGGAGGAGCCAGGAGGUUUUCUGGGGUACAGAGGGGGAACCUCAUGGUCUAGGGAACCGGGUAUUCACCAGGGGCCAUUAAGGACAUCUUCCUGGAUUCCCAAAAAAACCUGGACCCUGGACCUACAUCAGCAUCUCUCUGCCCAGCUUGGAGCCUCGGCAUGCCCCCCUGUUCAGCGCUGGUCCCCCAGCCCCAUUCAAGCCUGUAAGGGCGUGGACACGUGGAUCAUUUCUUCCAGACUGCUCUCCCAACAGCAAUCCCUUUGCCUUUUUUUCUAACUUCCCCUCUGCUUCUUCCUCGUCCCCUUCUUUCUUCUCAGGAAUCUCUUUGGGAGGAAAGGAAUUCCCUCACUACUUAGAGGGGUGGGGUUU